GAAUCGUGGCGAAAACUUUGUGUGAUGCGUU
rnacentral:snRNA from 1 species